rnacentral:rRNA from 1 species
GGCUUUUUGAUUAUAAUUUAAGGUCUAACCUGCCCAAUGAUUUAUUAAAUGGCCGCAGUAUAUUGACUGUGCAAAGGUAGCAUAAUCAUUAGUUUUUUAAAUGAAAGCUUGUAUGAAAGGUUUAAUGAGAAAAAUACUGUCUCUAUCUAAAUAUAUUAGAAUUUUAUUUUUAAGUUAAAAAGCUUAAAUAUUUAUUGAAGACGAGAAGACCCUAUAGAAUUUUAUAUUUUUGUUAAAUUUAUUUAGUUUAGAAUUUUAUAAAUAUUUUUAAUAAAAGUAUUUAGUUGGGGUGAUGAAAAAAUUUAUUUAACUUUUUUUUUAUUUAAACAUGAAUUAAUGAAUAUUUGAUCCUUUAAGUAUAAAGAUAAAAAGAAAAAAUUACCUUAGGGAUAACAGCGUAAUUUUUUUUAGAGUUCUUAUCAAAAAAAAAGAUUGCGACCUCGAUGUUGGAUUAAAAUAAAUUAUUGGUGUAGAAGCUAAUAUUUUAGGUCUGUUCGACCUUUAAAUUUUUACAUGAUCUGAGUUUAAACCGGUGUGA